CGAGAUCAAAACUUACUUUUCAUGCAAAGAAUUUAGAUCUGAAAAUUUAGAUUUAAGAUCUGAAAUUAGUGUUCGUACAUUAGGAAUUGGUCAUAGGUAGAUCAAAUUAGGUCAUAUAAUUGGAUUACAUCUAGAAUUUCUGAUUUGAUUAUAUUGGGUCUAAAUCGAUUUAGCAGUUGAUUAAACUGAGUCAAGUAUUGAUUAAGGUG
rnacentral:lncRNA from 1 species